rnacentral:sRNA from 1 species
UGAAGAGAGAGAGAGAAAGAGAGAAGGG